rnacentral:rRNA from 1 species
GCCCUUAGAGUUGAUCCUGGGCUCAGGACGAACGCUGGCGGCGCGCCUAACACAUGCAAGUCGAACGAGUGAGAGAGAGCUUGCUUUCUCGAGCGAGUGGCGAACGGGUGAGUAACGCGUGAGGAACCUGCCUCAAAGAGGGGGACAACAGUUGGAAACGACUGCUAAUACCGCAUAAGCCCACGGUGCCGCAUGGCACAGAGGGAAAAGGAGCAAUCCGCUUUGAGAUGGCCUCGCGUCCGAUUAGCUAGUUGGUGAGGUAACGGCCCACCAAGGCAACGAUCGGUAGCCGGACUGAGAGGUUGAACGGCCACAUUGGGACUGAGACACGGCCCAGACUCCUACGGGAGGCAGCAGUGGGGAAUAUUGCACAAUGGGGGAAACCCUGAUGCAGCGACGCCGCGUGGAGGAAGAAGGUCUUCGGAUUGUAAACUCCUGUUGUUGGGGAAGAUAAAGACGGUACCCAACAAGGAAGGACGGCAACUCUG